ACCUGGGUAACUCAGUCGGUUGAGUGUCUGACUUUGGCUCAGGUCAUGAUUUUGUGGUUCGUGAGUUCAAGUCCCGCAUCAGGCU
rnacentral:tRNA from 1 species